CAUUUAACUGCUUGGAUCAGAGUGAAACCUGCCCUUUCACAAGGGAAGCUAGGAAAAGGAAACAUAAUUUCAAACAAAAUUUGCCCAGGCACAGCCCUGCUGCUCUAUAGCAACUGAGCUCCAGAAGAUGCUAUAUCAUUAAAGAAUUCAAUGCUAAUGUGCCACCUGACAUUUGAUUGAAUAACUAUGCAUCAUGCUGAUGUCAAAUAGGGAAAAUAGAAAGCCCAUACACUAAAAUUUGGUAUGAUGGUAAUUUGCUUGAUUCUGCAAUAUUUGCCUUAGUAAUAACAAAUAGUAUGCUUGAGGGCUUUGCUGAUAGGGAUGGUUUGCUGAAUCUGGCCUCAAUUUCCAGUAAUGUCUAAGGUUUGACCUAUGACCUUUCUCAUGAGGCAUUAGUGAUUCCCAUGUCAUGUAGUAAUGUGUAGGGCUGUAGGUUUGUCAUCAUGGCAAAAAUAUCAUAGAUACCAUGACUUGUCCAUUUGUCUAUGACUUCUCUGUCCGUGACUUCUGUAUGAGAAGGCUGUAGGUGGCUUGCCCCACCAGCCUGGUGCGGUGGCAUGUCCUGGGGACGUGAGGUCACCCCACAGGAGUGUUUCCUGUGUGACAUUGCACUCCAUAUGUUUUAUGGAAAUAUGCUUAUGAGUGUAAAUAUGAUGUAACUGGAAUAUGCUUUAUGGAAAAGGUCUCUUGUAUGGUAUCAUAACAAAAGUUACAACCUACUGAGUAUAUUCUUCCUGUUUUUAUGUAUGUAUCAUUCUUGUAUCUGAAGCUAGAAAAAAAGUAUAACUCUGGGGUCUUAUUGUAAUUAUGCAAAGUGUGGGCCAUUGAUGGCGGUUCAGAAUCUUGAUGGCUCCCAUUGACUAGGACAAUUGAGAAAGCCCUCCUUUUC